rnacentral:tRNA from 1 species
GGCCCCAUCGUCUAUCGGCUAGGACGACGCCCUUUCACGGCGUAAGGCAGAGUUCGACUCUCUGUGGGGUCA